rnacentral:rRNA from 1 species
ACGUUAUUUUACUACGUUAAUUAUUCUUUUAUAGGAUGCUGAAACAUCAAGAUACACAGUAAAGGUGAUCGAAGGUGUUUAACACAUGAUUAAAAGUACCGCAAGGGAAUUAAAAAAAGGUAAAAAAGUAGUUAUUUCUAACGUACUUUUUGCAUCACGAUUUAGCAAGAAAUUUUCAGAAUUCUGUUUUCUCGAAAGUUAGCGAGCUAUCUUCUUUAGGCUUUUAGGUUCUCUAUUCUAAAUGUAGCAAAAUUUAAUGAAUAAAAGAAGAUAGAGAUGAAAUUUCAUCCGCGCUGACGAUAGCUAGUUUCUUCGGAAAAAUAUAAAAGUAUUGGGAAAAAGCAACUUUAGUAGAUAUUACAAGUCUAAUAGUUUCUUUUUUACUAAAUUCUUCGAGGAUAAGCUCGGAGAAAAGCUAAGAAAAAUACUUAAAUUAGUUGUUGUGUGGGCUUAAGAUUGGCCAGCAUAAAAGUUUGUUAUAAAAUAAUAACGCAAUUUAUAAAAAUCAAUUUAUAUUAGUCUAGCUACCUAGGAAGAUAAUGAGUCUUAAUUAAUAAAGAUCAUAAGCCUAUGCUAAGAUGAGUAUUAAAAGCAAAUAUAUGUAUUGAGAAAUGUUUUUUCUCCCACAAACAGUAUUUUACAGACAAAUUAAUUUGAAGGAACUCGGCAAGUUCAGUUGUUUCGCCUGUUUAUCAAAAACAUCGCUCUCUGCAUUAUAUAAACGUAUAGAGUCUAGCCUGCCCAGUGAAUUUUUUUAACGGCCGCGGUACUCUGACCGUGCAAAGGUAGCAUAAUCAUUUGCCUUAUAAUUGAAGGCUUGUAUGAAUGGUUUGACGAGAGCAACUCUGUCUCCUUUUUAUUUUUUAGAAUUUAACUUUUAGGUGAAGAGGCCUAAAUUUAAUUGAAGGACAAGAAGACCCUGUCGAGCUUAAAAGAAAUUGUAGAAGCCGAUAUAUUUUUAAAUAAAUAUUCUGCUAAGCUUUUUAGUUGGGGCGACUAAGGAACAAUAAAAGCUUCUUAUGUAACAACAAACAACCAAGUUUAGAUCCGGCAUUUGCCGAUCAAUGGAAUUAGUUACCGCAGGGAUAACAGCAUAAUCUCUCUUGAGAGACCUAAUCGAAAGAGGGGGUUGUGACCUCGAUGUUGGACUAGAAUAUCCUGAAGAUGCAGAAGUCUUCGAGGGUCGGUCUGUUCGACCGUUAAAAUUUUACGUGAUCUGAGUUCA